CCUACGGGAGGCAGCAGUGAGGAAUAUUGGUCAAUGGACGAGAGUCUGAACCAGCCAAGUAGCGUGAAGGAUGACUGCCCUAUGGGUUGUAAACUUCUUUUAUAUGGGAAUAAAAUGUUCCACGUGUGGGAUUUUGUAUGUACCAUAUGAAUAAGGAUCGGCUAACUCCGUGCAAGUAGCCGCGGUAAUACGGAGGAUCCGAGCGUUAUCCGGAUUUAUUGGGUUUAAAGGGAGCGUAGGUGGAUUGUUAAGUCAGUUGUGAAAGUUUGCGGCUCAACCGUAAAAUUGCAGUUGAAACUGGCAGUCUUGAGUACAGUAGAGGUGGGCGGAAUUCGUGGUGUAGCGGUGAAAUGCUUAGAUAUCACGAAGAACUCCGAUUGCGAAGGCAGUUCACUGGACUGCAACUGACACUGAGGCUCGAAAGUGUGGGUAUCAAACAGGAUUAGAUACCCGUGUAGUC
rnacentral:rRNA from 1 species